UACGGGGGGGGCAAGCGUUGUUCGGAAUUACUGGGCGUAAAGGGCUCGUAGGUGGCCAACUAAGUCAUACGUGAAAUCCCUCGGCUUAACCGGGGAACUGCGUCUGAUACUGGAUGGCUUGAGUUCGGGAGAGGGAUGCGGAAUUCCAGGUGUAGCGGUGAAAUGCGUAGAUAUCUGGAGGAACACCGGUGGCGAAGGCGGCAUCCUGGACCGAUACUGACGCUGAGGAGCGAAAGCCAGGGGAGCAAACAGG
rnacentral:rRNA from 1 species